CUGUUCUGCAAGUCCUCCGUUAAAUCCACCUGCUCAACGGAUGGGCUGCGGAGGAUACCGCAGAGCUAGGAGGCGGGAGAGGCAAACGGUACUCAGUGGGUAGGGGUAAAAUCCAUUGAUCUACUGAAGACCACCAGUGGCGAAGGCGGUUUGCCAGAACGCGCUCGACGGUGAGGGAUGAAAGCUGGGGGAGCAAACCGGAUUAGAUACCCGGGUAGUCCCAGCUGUAAACGAUGCAGACUCGGUGAUGAGUUGGCUAUAUGCCAUCUCAGUGCCGCAGGGAAGCCGUUAAGUUUGCCGCCUGGGGA
rnacentral:rRNA from 1 species